rnacentral:rRNA from 1 species
AACGAACGCUGGCGGCAGGCUUAACACAUGCAAGUCGAGCGCUGUAGCAAUACAGAGCGGCGCACGGGUGAGUAACACGUGGGAACGUGCCCUUUGGUUCGGAAUAACCCAGGGAAACUUGGGCUAAUACCGGAUAAGCCCUUACGGGGAAAGAUUUAUCGCCAUUGGAGCGGCCCGCGCCCGAUUAGCUUGUUGGUGAGGUAACGGCUCACCAAGGCAACGAUCGGUAGCUGGUCUGAGAGGACGACCAGCCACACUGGGACUGAGACA